rnacentral:rRNA from 1 species
AGGACGAACGCUGGCGGCGUGCCUAAUACAUGCAAGUCGAACGGUCUUUCUAUGGAAGCUUGCUUCCACUGAGAAGAUAGUGGCGAACGGGUGAGUAACACGUGGGUAACCUGCCCAUAAGAGGGGGAUAACAUCCGGAAACGGAUGCUAAUACCGCAUAGUUUUCUUGAUCGCAUGAUCGGGAAAGGAAAGACGGCCUUUGUGCUGUCGCUUAUGGAUGGACCCGCGGCGUAUUAGUUAGUUGGUGAGGUAACGGCUCACCAAGACGAUGAUACGUAGCCGGACUGAGAGGUUGAACGGCCACAUGGACUGAGAUACGGCCCAGACUCCUACGGGAGGCAGCAGGUGGGGAAUUAGUUGGGCAAGUGGGACGAAAGCCUGAACCCCAGCAACGCCGCGUGAAGGAAGAAGGCCGUUCGGGUUAGUAACUUUCUUUUAUGGAGGGACGAAGGACGUGACGGUACCUCAUGAAUAAGCCACGGCUAACUACGUGCCAGCAGCAGC